rnacentral:rRNA from 1 species
UACGUAGGGCGCAAGCGUUGUCCGGAAUUAUUGGGCGUAAAGAGCUCGUAGGCGGUUUGUCGCGUCUGCUGUGAAAACCUAAGGCUCAACCUUGGGCUUGCAGUGUGUACGGGCAGACUAGAGUGCGGUAGGGGUGACUGGAAUUCCUGGUGUAGCGGUGGAAUGCGCAGAUAUCAGGAGGAACACCGGUGGCGAAGGCAGGUCACUGGGCCGCAACUGACGCUGAGGAGCGAAAGCAUGGGGAGCAAACAGG